GAUGAACGCUGGCGGCGUGCUUAACACAUGCAAGUCGAACGAAGCAUUUGCGACAGAUUUCUUCGGAUUGAAGUUGCUUAUGACUGAGUGGCGGACGGGUGAGUAACGCGUGGGUAACCUGCCUCAUACAGGGGGAUAGCAGCUGGAAACGGCUGGUAAUACCGCAUACGCGCACAGUACCACAUGGUACAGUGUGAAAAACUCCGGUGGGAUGAGAUGGACCCGCGUCUGAUUAGCUAGUUGGUGAGGUAACGGCCCACCAAGGCGACGAUCAGUAGCCGACCUGAGAGGGUGACCGGCCACAUUGGGACUGAGACACGGCCCAGACUCCUACGGGAGGCAGCAGUGGGGAAUAUUGCACAAUGGAGGAAACUCUGAUGCAGCGACGCCGCGUGAGUGAAGAAGUAGUUCGCUAUGUAAAGCUCUAUCAGCAGGGAAGAUAGUGACGGUACCUGACUAAGAAGCUCCGGCUAAAUACGUGCCAGCAGCCGCCGUAA
rnacentral:rRNA from 1 species